UGGGGAAUAUUGCACAAUGGGCGCAAGCCUGAUGCAGCAACGCCGCGUGAGGGACGACGGCCUUCGGGUUGUAAACCUCUUUUAGUAGGGAAGAAGCGAAAGUGACGGUACCUGCAGAAAAAGCACCGGCUAACUACGUGCCAGCAGCCGCGGUAAUACGUAGGGUGCGAGCGUUGUCCGGAAUUAUUGGGCGUAAAGAGCUCGUAGGCGGUCUGUCGCGUCUGCUGUGAAAACCCGAGGCUCAACCUCGGGCCUGCAGUGGGUACGGGCAGACUAGAGUGCGGUAGGGGAGAAUGGAAUUCCUGGUGUAGCGGUGGAAUGCGCAGAUAUCAGGAGGAACACCGAUGGCGAAGGCAGUUCUCUGGGCCGUAACUGACGCUGAGGAGCGAAAGCGUGGGGAGCGAACAGGAUUAGAUACCCUGGUAGUCCACGCCGUAAACGUUGGGCGCUAGAUGUGGGGACCAUUCCACGGUUUCCGUGUCGCAGCUAACGCAUUAAGCGCCCCGCCUGGGGAGUACGGCCGCAAGGCUAAAACUCAGAGGAAUU
rnacentral:rRNA from 1 species